rnacentral:rRNA from 1 species
UACGUAGGGUGCGAGCGUUAAUCGGAAUUACUGGGCGUAAAGCGUGCGCAGGCGGUGAUGUAAGACCGAUGUGAAAUCCCCGGGCUUAACCUGGGAACUGCAUUGGUGACUGCAUCGCUCGAGUAUGGCAGAGGGGGGUAGAAUUCCACGUGUAGCAGUGAAAUGCGUAGAGAUGUGGAGGAAUACCGAUGGCGAAGGCAGCCCCCUGGGUCAAUACGUGAACGCUCAUGCACGAAAGCGUGGGGAGCAAACAGG